UGCGUAGGCGGAAAAUUAAGUCAGUGAUGAAAUCCUGCAGCUUAACUGUAGAACUGUUAUUGAUACUGAUUUUCUUGAAUUCAGUUGAGGUAGGCGGAAUGUGUAAUGUAGCGGUGAAAUGCUUAGAUAUUACACAGAACACCGAUUGCGAAGGCAGCUUACUAAGCUGAUAUUGACGCUGAGGCACGAAGGCGUGGGGAGCGAACAGGAUUAGAUACCCUGGUAGUCC
rnacentral:rRNA from 1 species